UAAGCAUAUCAAUAAGCGGAGGAAAAGAAACCAACAGGGAUUGCCUCAGUAACGGCGAGUGAAGCGGCAACAGCUCAAAUUUGAAAUCUGGCCUCUUUGGGGUCCGAGUUGUAAUUUGUAGAGGAUGUUUCGGGUACCGCCUCGGUCUAAAUUUCUUGGAACAGAAUGUCAAAGAGGGUGAGAAUCCCGUCUUGGACCGGCGGUAGGGCCCAUGUGAAACUCCUUCGACGAGUCGAGUUGUUUGGGAAUGCAGCUCAAAAUGGGUGGUAAAUUUCAUCUAAAGCUAAAUAUUGGCCAGAGACCGAUAGCGCACAAGUAGAGUGAUCGAAAGAUGAAAAGCACUUUGAAAAGAGAGUUAAACAGUAUGUGAAAUUGUUGAAAGGGAAGCGCUUGCAACCAGACUUGAGCGCGGCGGUUCCCCCUUCCUUUUGGUUGGGUUACUCCGCCGUGUCCAGGCCAACAUCGGUUCUGGGGGUCGGUUAAAGGCUCGAGGAAUGUAUCUACUCCUUCGGGGGUAGACUUAUAGCCUCGGGUGUCAUGCGACCUCCCGGGACCGAGGAACGCGCUUCGGCUCGGAUGUUGGCGUAAUGGUUGUCAGCGACCCGUCUUGAAACACGGACCAAGGAGUCUAACAUCUAUGCGAGUGUUUGGGUGUCAAACCCGGAACGCGGAAUGAAAGUGAACGGAGGUAGGAAGCCGCAAGGCUGCACUAUCGACCGAUCCUGAUGUCUUCGGAUGGAUUUGAGUAAGAGCAUAGCUGUUGGGACCCGAAAGAUGGUGAACUAUGCCUGAAUAGGGUGAAGCCAGAGGAAACUCUGGUGGAGGCUCGCAGCGGUUCUGACGUGCAAAUCGAUCGUCAAAUUUGGGUAUAGGGGCGAAAGACUAAUCGAACCAUCUGGUAGCUGGUUCCUGCCGAAG
rnacentral:rRNA from 1 species